CUCUAGGAAGACUCUGCGCUCACUCAUCUUCCCCACUCAUCUUCAUCGUCGCUUCUCUUCGCUGCGCGGUCACAUCACGAAGACUCUGCGCUCAACUGAAAGCUUUCUUCAUUCGCGAGCGCAGGAGAACUCGUGAAUUUAGGGGUUUUAUUCCAUUAACACAGGUGAGUUUGGCCAUGAUUAGUUGCUGCGCAGGAAUACCAAGAUGAGUUGCUUAUUAUGUUUGUUGCU